UGUCUGCUACAAACAUGCAGCUUUUGUCUUCUACAGAUGUUAGUGUGGAUAGUGAUGUUUUUAUCAGCUGUGUGGACUCUCAUUCUGACGGCACCCAUUCACUGAAGUGCAUCCAUUGAUGAAACACUGAUGCAAUCCUACAUUUCUACAAAUCUGAUGAAUAAACACAGGCCAUCGAGGAGAGGAUGUCAUUCGGCUCGUUUUUCUGGGGCAUCUUCUGGCUGCUGGUGCUGCUGUUUCUCGGCUGGCCCUUGAGCAUUAUGCUGGGGGGUCUGUAUGGCCUCAUCGCCCCUCUCACCGUCUGCCUGGGUCUGGAUCGGCUGGCCGACCUGCUGAUGGAGGGGGCCAAUCUGGGCAGAAAGUGUGCCCAGAACAUGAAGCAUGGCACAGCACUGUGCUGAGACCAACAGCUAAGAAUGCUCAGCCUCCACGUCUCUUCACUUCAGCUGUAUUAAUAGUCAACAUGAACUGUUCUUGACAGUUUACUGUGCCUUUGAUUUUCUGUGACUACAACAUAAUGUUUUCUUAAAGCCUUAGUAUCGCUCGCUCGCUUCCUCUCUGUAUCUCUUUCUCUUAGGCUGUUUGACUAUGAAAAAUGUAAAUUUUCUGGUACUGGUGUCUUGAGUUCACAAUGUUGAAACACAUGAGUAUUACAAGAAGAGUUUGUUAAAAUGCAAGAUGCAGUUCUUCAAAACCAUCCAUCGAGUCUCCACACAGGCCACAAAACAGUCCUUUUCAGGACAAGAAAGUGCAGAAGUAAACGUUUGUGUCAGUGCAUUAUUGUGCAUUUAUUAUUUUUGAAUCGAUAUGGCAAUAAUAUGAUUGAAUGUAAAAUAGUUAUUUAGAACUGAAACAUUCCCAUUAUCACAGAUUAAUGAAGAAACAGAUUUUCAGCUCCAUGUACUGCAGAAUAAUACUAAAACUGAUUUGUUACUUGAAAUAAAAUUAUUUUAUAAUUA